rnacentral:rRNA from 1 species
UACAGAGGUCUCAAGCGUUGUUCGGAUUCAUUGGGCGUAAAGGGUGCGUAGGUGGCGCUGUAAGUCGGGUGUGAAAUUUCGGAGCUUAACUCCGAAACUGCAUUCGAUACUGCGGUGCUUGAGGACUGGAGAGGAGACUGGAAUUCAUGGUGUAGCAGUGAAAUGCGUAGAGAUCAUGAGGAAGACCAGUGGCGAAGGCGGGUCUCUGGACAGUUCCUGACCUGAGGCACGAAGGCCAGGGGAGCAAACGGG